UCACUUGGAAAAUGAAGAUAAGGAGUAAUUCUGGAGUGCUCCUGUACCAGUCAUAUUGAACAUGCUCAACCUCAACUUCUAAUCAGGCUUGUGGAGUGCAGAGGAGAACUCUGCAGACCGCCUCCGAGUCAAGAAGAGACAAGGCAGGUCUGCAGGUAGAUUGUGUGAGACACUUUCAGUUUUAAAACAGCAACACAAUCAAGAGAUCACCUCUUUUUCUGCCUCUGGAAUUUGGUGAGAACACAAUGGACUGGUGCUUGGAGCUGCUGCAGCCAUCUUGUGGACAUGAAGGGAGCCCCAAUCUACCUAGAAAAAAUGGAAGAACAGAAAUACAGGUACAGCUGGGACCAAGAUGAUCUUGCCACUUCAGUACAUUACAAAACCCGAGACCCCAUCUUAAAACAUCUGAUGAAAUAGAAGAGUCUUCUAUUGUUGAAGAUUUGUUAGAUUUUUCUGUUUCUUUCAUUAAAAAUCAUCAUAAC
rnacentral:lncRNA from 1 species